UAAGACAGAGGGUGCAAACGUUGUUCGGAAUUACUGGGCGUAAAGCGAGUGUAGGCGGUCCGAUAAGUCGGGUGUGAAAGCCCUGGGCUCAACCCAGGAAGUGCACUCGAAACUGCCGGGCUAGAGUAUCGGAGAGGUUGGUGGAAUUCUCGGUGUAGAGGUGAAAUUCGUAGAUAUCGAGAGGAACACCGGUGGCGAAGGCGGCCAACUGGACGAAUACUGACGCUGAGACUCGAAAGCGUGGGGAGCAAACAGGAUUAGAUACCCUGGUAGUCCACGCCGUAAACGAUGGGUGCUAGGUGUCGCGGGCUUUGACUCCCGCGGUGCCGUAGCUAACGCAUUAAGCACCCCGCCUGGGAAGUACGGCCGCAAGGCUA
rnacentral:rRNA from 1 species